CGCGCAGGCGGUCUUGAAAGUCAGGCGUGAAAGCCCCGGGCUUAACCUGGGAAUUGCGCUUGAUACUCUGAGACUGGAGUACGGGAGAGGAGAGUGGAAUUCCCAGUGUAGAGGUGAAAUUCGUAGAUAUUGGGAAGAACACCAGUGGCGAAGGCGGCUCUCUGGACCGUAACUGACGCUGAGGCGCGAAAGCGUGGGGAGCAAACAGGAUUAGAUACCCUGGUAGUCCACGCCGUAAACGAUGUGCGCUAGACGUUGGAAGGCUUAGCCUUUCGGUGUCGAAGCUAACGCGGUAAGCGCACCGCCUGGGGAGUACGGCCGCAAGGUUAAA
rnacentral:rRNA from 1 species